GACGAACGCUGGCGGCGUGCUUAACACAUGCAAGUCGAACGGAAAGGCCCUGCUUUUGUGGGGUGCUCGAGUGGCGAACGGGUGAGUAACACGUGAGUAACCUGCCCUUGACUUUGGGAUAACUUCAGGAAACUGGGGCUAAUACCGGAUAGGAGCUCCUGCGGCAUGGUGGGGGUUGGAAAGUUUCGGCGGUUGGGGAUGGACUCGCGGCUUAUCAGCUUGUUGGUGGGGUAGUGGAUUACCAAGGCUUUGACGGGUAGCCGGGCUGAGAGGGUGCCCGGCCACAUUGGGACUGAGAUACGGCCCAGACUCCUACGGGAGGCAGCAGUGGGGAAUAUUGCACAAUGGGCGGAAGCCUGAUGCAGCAACGCCGCGUGCGGGAUGACGGCCUUCGGGUUGUAAACCGCUUUCGCCUGUGACGAAGCGUGAGUGACGGUAAUGGGUAAAGAAGCACCGGCUAACUACGUG
rnacentral:rRNA from 1 species